ensembl:misc_RNA 7SK 7SK RNA
GGAAAAAUAAUCUGACUCUGAUACGUCAGGCCAUUGAUCUGCACGGUUGAGUGGGCUGGUUGAGUGGGCUAGUUGAGCUGGCUAGACAGAUGUCUAUUUCCUUGUUUAAUUCCAGGUGCUUCCAUCCCGAAGCUACACACUUAGAUUAAAAGGACAGCCACUCCAAUAGAGGCCCGGAUCAUUCUUCAGUCAAGGGUCUGAGUAACUCUUUCUCUGAAAGAACUUCCAAACAGGCUGUCAAGAGGAACAGUGCUAUGUCCUCACCAGGGAAAUGGAUAUCGUCACCACACAAAGUGAAUUAAGCCAGACUUUGAGAGACAAAUAUU